AACGAACGCUGGCGGCAUGCCUAACACAUGCAAGUCGAACGAGACCUUCGGGUCUAGUGGCGCACGGGGGCGUAACGCGGGGGAACCUGCCCGUAGGUUCGGAAUAACUCCCCGAAAGGGGUGCUAAUACCGGAGAAUGUCUUCGGACCAAAGAUUUAUCGCCUUUGGAUGGGCCCGCGUUGGAUUAGCUAGUUGGUAGGGUAAAAGCCUACCAAGGCGACGAUCCAUAGCUGGUCUGAGAGGAUGCUCAGCCACACUGGGACUGAGACACGGCCCAGACUCCUACGGGAGGCAGCAGUGGGGAAUAUUGGACAAUGGGCGAAAGCCUGAUCCAGCAAUGCCGCGUGAGUGAUCAAGGCCUUAGGGUUGUAAAGCUCUUUUACCCGGGAUGAUAAUGACAGUACCGGGAGAAUAAGCUCCGGCUAACUCCGUG
rnacentral:rRNA from 1 species